rnacentral:RNase_P_RNA from 1 species
GUUGUCGGCCGGAUGGUCGCGAUGUCAGAGCGAAAGCUCGGGCACCGAGGAAAGUCCGGGCUCCACAGGGUAGACUGCCAGGUAACGCCUGGGCGCAUGCGGCGUGAGCUUCGUGCGACGGACAGUGCAACAGAAAGCAAACCGCCGUCCUGCCGGGAACCCUCACGGGCCACCGCCGGUGCGGUAAGGGUGAAAGGGUGGGGUAAGAGCCCACCGCGUUUCCGGUAACGGAAACGGCUCGGUAAACCCCAGUCGGAGCAAGGCCAAAUAAGCGGCGAGAGAUGACCCGUCUCGCAAGGACGUCGCAAGACGUCGAGCCGCGGGUAGGCUGCUAGAGCGUGUGGGUGACUGCACGCCGAGAGGAAUGACCGUCCGGUGUCGGUGUGUGCUUGCGCACGCCGGCGCUGACAGAACCCGGCUUACAGGCCGGCGACCUUC